rnacentral:rRNA from 1 species
GAUGAACGCUGGCGGCGUGCCUAAUACAUGCAAGUCGAGCGAACAGACGAGGAGCUUGCUCCUCUGACGUUAGCGGCGGACGGGUGAGUAACACGUGGAUAACCUACCUAUAAGACUGGGAUAACUUCGGGAAACCGGAGCUAAUACCGGAUAAUAUAUUGAACCGCAUGGUUCAAUAGUGAAAGACGGUUUUGCUGUCACUUAUAGAUGGAUCCGCGCCGCAUUAGCUAGUUGGUAAGGUAACGGCUUACCAAGGCAACGAUGCGUAGCCGACCUGAGAGGGUGAUCGGCCACACUGGAACUGAGACACGGUCCAGACUCCUACGGGAGGCAGCAGUAGGGAAUCGUCCGCAAAGGGCGAAAGCCUGACGGAGCAACGCCGCGUGAGUGAUGAAGGUCUUCGGAUCGUAAAACUCUGUUAUUAGGGAAGAACAAAUGUGUAAGUAACUAUGCACGUCUUGACGGUACCUAAUCAGAAAGCCACGGCUAACUACGUG